rnacentral:rRNA from 1 species
GACAGAGGGUGCAAACGUGUUCGGAAUUACUGGGCGUAAAGCGUGCGCGAGGCGGUGAUGUAAGACAGAUGUGAAAUCCCCCGGGCUCAACCUGGGAACUGCAUUUGUGACUGCAUCGCUGGAGUACGGCAGAGGGGGAUGGAAUUCCGCGUGUAGCAGUGAAAUGCGUAGAUAUGCGGAGGAACACCGAUGGCGAAGGCAAUCCC